CGGUAGAACAGUAAGAAGAGAGACAGCUGUGAAGCGUUACCAAAUGCUUCCCCAUUCAUGUUGAUCAAAUAAUCUAGGAUGGCUCCUUAAACAUCUUGCUCACAUAUUUUGUUAAUGUAUAGAAAUACUAAAUUGCUUUGUACAUGCAUCUGCAGAGAGAUCUAAUACUCAAUGUUGCAACAUCUUUGGUGGAGCCUGUGCUGUCAAUCUUUGAACUACUGCUGUGUCCAGUUUUGGAUUUAAAAGUCACCUGUUCUCAUGGUUGUUGAAAGAAAACAAUUAGACACAAGCAUGGUAAUAGAGCCAAGAGUCAAUAACAGUAUCUGGUAUGGACUGCUUGACUGGAUACAAAUGCAAAAGUCAGAAUAAAUUUACCUGAGGCCAGCAUUCCAUAACUAUUGACAACCAGAACUGAAUUAGGUUAAGAGAAAAAAAGGUCAAAAUAGAAGCCUCAAAUGCAUAGAGAAAAAGAUCAACCAUGUCUUUCUUAGAUUCCAAUUUUCAGGGAAUUUGAGAAACAAAUCCAAGUCUUCUAGCUCAAUUUAUCUUCUCCCAAUUAAUCUCUAUAUGAGGGAUGUGAGAAAUUUUGGACCAGUCUUCACCUGUCCCCCGUUGACACCUUUCUCCAAGCAAAGGACAUUCCAUGAUGCACAACAAUGAAAUGGAGGAGGCCAGGCCCUCAUCUGGAAUUGAAGAGAGCUUAGGACAUCCCGAGAUUGUAAGUUGUUUAAGAGACUUGAGGUGUUGAAGGCCCCCACAGUCCAGAGAUUUCAAAUUCUGAAAAUCGUGGAUUUCAAGGGAGGUUAGAGAGGAAGGCAACAAUGUAAUCUCAGGGAAAGAUUCUGCAUUGUGGUCUGAAUGGAUAGAGAGCUGUGAAAGAGAUGGUAGAGUUUGCAAAAUCCAUUGCAAGUGACAAUAGAGUUUGUUGGAACAAUCAAGUUGAAGCAAUUCUAGUUUGGAGGAGAAUCUAUUUGUUUCCAACUGCAGCAAAUCUCCUUGAGAUGCAUAUAGCCAUUCCAGAAUUGGACAAUGAAAAAUGACAAGACGCUUUAACUCCGGGAACAAUUCUAACGAAAAGCACCUAAGCGAAUCGCAGUCGGAGAUCUGAAUUGCUUCUAAAGUAACAGAAAAAACAUGCAUUUGCUCCAACCACUCUAGUACCAAAUCUAGAGAGAUAGAACCACCGACUCUAAGACCAUAGAGUCCAGAAGCCAAUUUCUCAAGUCUCACAUCACGAGAAUCAUCUUCUAUUACCAUAUCAACAAUGGAUGGAGUGGGGGGAAAUGAAACCACUAGCUGCUGACAUCCAUCAAUCUGAAGCUUUGUUAGAGAAGGAAGGUGCGUUGGCAAGGCUUUUGUCAAAAAUGGACAAUUGAAUAUGUGAAGCUCCUGGAGACAAGAGAAAGCUCCCACACAAGGAAUCCAUUCAUACCACUCUGGGAAAUCUGCAAAACUUAAAAUUUCAAGGGAUCGAAAUGGCUUCUCAAUGGAUGUGCAACUUCCACAGAACUCAGGGCCCACAACUUGGACUCUAUCAAAUCCUUCAAUCAGAAGCUCUUUUAGAGACCCUAACUGCCCAAGUGGUGGUAAGGAG
rnacentral:misc_RNA from 1 species